UGUUGUUAGUUUAGGUUU
rnacentral:miRNA from 1 species